CAGAUAACAACUACCUACCUAUUUUCAACUGUCUAUCGUGCCUUGAACGAUAUAAGAUUAUUUUAUUUUACUUUUCAUCCCGAGCGAAUGGUACCUAGGUAUAUUUAUUUAAAUGCAUCGUUUUAGAAAUAGAAUCAUGGUUAGUAAUACGCAAUUCGUCAUUAUCUGCACUAUUUUAUUCCUCGAUAUCAGCAACGCUUUUAUAUUCCCGUUUCAUUUUCAACCGCCACCAUACAGACGAGGAAGAAUACCGCCAGGAGGACUAAAACAGAAUCUACUGCCAUUCUUUUGGCCUAUUUGGCCCGAACCGAGACGAAAUAAAGCCCCUAGAUUUACAUUACCUAUAGAUAAGUACCGAUUGGAGGAAAAAUUACGAAGGGAAGUGCGAAGGGAAGUGCUUAAAAAUUCCGAAAAAGUAUGAAACACAUGAUGAAAUACAGGCAACAUUUUCUAAAGUAUUAUACAACUAAGAAGCGUCAAAAAUGUUGAAAAAAAUUGAAAAAUAUCGCAAUCGUGUUGAUCGGUAAUGGUAUGCAAAAAUACUUACAAUUAAUAUAAGUUACCAUUACCGUUAAUUUACCAACGAAAUAGAUACUGGUAUAUUACUGAAAAUUAAAGUAUUACCUACAAAUAAGUAAUUUAUAAAUAUAUUUUUCCAAAAAAAAUUGAAUUUUCUCGAAAUGUUCAGAACUUUUCAAAUCGAGAAUCCAAAAAAAACGCCACCUCAUGUUGAUAUGCAGUUAUUCUUGUAAUCAUUUUUUCGAGAAUUUUUGAGCAAGGACGCGAUGGAGAAAAUAUCAUUCUAGAUUAGUAGUACCUAAGUAGGCAUAUUUGUAAAUAAUUUGGAAACAUCUCUGACACAUCAAACAACAUUGUUUCAUCUCCAUAUCAGCAUAAUUAUUUUAAUCGCUAAACCAAACUCAAAACAUUUAUCUUCAUCAGUGAUCAGAUAGGUUACCCAAAAGUUUCAUGCUCUCGUAAAAUUAAGUUUAUUUUCGUUUUCGUUUUGAGCACUGUAAGUGUAAGUAGACGUAAGUACGAAUCGUUUUAAAACCAUGGUUACACGAUUAUUCAUCAACAUCAUCUACCUCUUUAGUAUUUUAUCCCUCGAUUUGAGCGACGCCAGGUUGGGGAUUCGUUAUAUUCCGGUAAGUCAAUCAGUAUACUGAUCAGAAAUUCAUUCGUAAUUGCAAAAUUAUACGUACGAGCAUCGGUCUCUUAAAAUAAGUUAUAUUUUGUAAAUUUGAACAGCCAUGAGCCAGAGGAAAACCACCGUCAGGAACGGCAGAUCCCCUCUUAUUGCCAUUCAUGUUAUUGCCUACAUUCAGAAAACCAGAGGUGAAGGUGAAGCAAAAUGAAUGCGCAUGUUUGUGUAAAUUACCUCACGAAAAUUAGAUUAAUUCUAAAUAUAAGAACAUUAUUAUGUAGCAAGUUGUUGUUUUCCUGUUAUUCAAUAUACCUCAAACGACUGAAAAAUUA